GACGAACGCUUGCGGCGUGCCUAAGAAAUGCAAGUCGAGCGGGGUUGCUUCUCAUUGAGUUGAGAAGCAAGUUGAGAGUCUUUAGUUGAGAGUUGAGAGUAACGACCAGUCGGCCGAACUCUCAACUCUCAACCCUCAACUCUCAACUGAAUGAGGAGUAACCUAGCGGCGAACGGUCGCGUAACACGUAAGCAACCUGCCCGAA
rnacentral:rRNA from 1 species